GGAAACAGAAGAGGAGCGCCUACUAGGUAGUGAGUUUGAGGAUACCAAUAUCCAAUGACAACUCACGAGGGAGAUAGGCGCCGAGGUUAACGCGAGAUUGGUAUGGCGUUCACCGGUUGGUCAGGCUGAAUCCUGACGACUGUCACCGUAUUUUUGGUGGAGAGCUUCUGGUGUG
rnacentral:ncRNA from 2 species